ACGCUGGCGGCGUGCUUAACACAUGCAAGUCGAACGAGAAUCUGCGGAACAAGGAUUCGUCCAAGUGAAGCGGAGGACAGUGGCGGACGGGUGAGUAACGCGUGAGGAACCUGGCUUUCAGAGGGGGACAACAGUUGGAAACGACUGCUAAUACCGCAUAACGCAUAGGAAUCGCAUGGUUUUUAUGCCAAAGAUUUAUCGCUGAAAGAUGGCCUCGCGUCUGAUUAGCUAGUUGGUGAGGUAACGGCCCACCAAGGCGACGAUCAGUAGCCGGACUGAGAGGUUGAACGGCCACAUUGGAACUGAGAUACGGUCCAGACUCCUACGGGAGGCAGCAGUGGGGAAUAUUGGGCAAUGGGCGCAAGCCUGACCCAGCAACGCCGUGUGAAGGAAGAAGGUCUUCGGAUUGUAAACUUUUGUCUUAUGGGACGAUAAUGACGGUACCAUAGGAGGAAGUCACGACUAACUACGUG
rnacentral:rRNA from 1 species